UCGACAUCCAGAGAACUUGGCAGAGAUGCCUUGGUGCCUUCGGGAACUCUGAGACAGGUGCUGCAUGGCUGUCGUCAGCUCGUGUUGUGAAAUGUUGGGUUAAGUCCCGCAACGAGCGCAACCCUUAUCCUUUGUUGCUAGCGAUUCGGUCGGGAACUCAAAGGAGACUGCCAGUGAUAAACUGGAGGAAGGUGGGGAUGACGUCAAGUCAUCAUGGCCCUUACGAGUAGGGCUACACACGUGCUACAAUGGCGUAUACAAAGAGAAGCGACCUCGCGAGAGCAAGCGGACCUCAAAAAGUACGUCGUAGUCCGGAUUGGAGUCUGCAACUCGACUCCAUGAAGUCGGAAUCGCUAGUAAUCGUAGAUCAGAAUGCUACGGUGAAUACGUUCCCGGGCCUUGUACACACCGCCCGUCACACCAUGGGAGUGGGUUGCAAAAGAAGUAGGUAGCUUAACCUUCGGGAGGGCGCUUACCACUUUGUGAUUCAUGACUGGGGUGAAGUCGUAACAAGGUAACCAAGGGCGAAUUCUG
rnacentral:rRNA from 1 species